rnacentral:tRNA from 1 species
GGAGAGGUGCAGGAGUGGCUGAACUGGCACGCCUGGAAAGCGUGUGUACGUGAAAGCGUACCGUGGGUUCGAAUCCCACCCUCUCCG